AUUGAACGCUGGCGGCAGGCCUAACACAUGCAAGUCGAGCGGAGCGGCGGACGGGUGAGUAAUGCCUAGGAAUCUGCCUGGUAGUGGGGGAUAACGUCCGGAAACGGGCGAUAAUACCGCAUACUAUCAGAUGAGCCUAGGUCGGAUUAGCUAGUUGGUGGGGUAAAGGCCUACCAAGGCGACGAUCCGUAACUGGUCUGAGAGGAUGAUCAGUCAAACUGGGACUGAGACACGGUCCGGACUCCUACGGGAGGCAGCAGUGGGGAAUAUUGGACAAUGGGCGAAAGCCUGAUCCAGCAAUGCCGCGUGUGUGAAGAAGGUCUUCGGAUCGUAAAGCACUUUAGGUUGGGAGGCGUUACCAACAGAGUAAGCCCCGGCUAACUACGUGCCAGCCGCCGCGGUAAUUC
rnacentral:rRNA from 1 species